UCUUGAGCUUCGAGCACUGGUCGGAGAGCGAGCCCGCCGCGCCCAGGCACGCACCCAACAUCGAGCGCGCCGAGCAGGACGAAGACGGGGAAUCGCAGCUGGAAACGGCUAAAAGCCUGCGAGAAAAGUUCGAGAACAUGAAAGUGCAACAGACUACUGUCACAAAAACCUUCGUGCCCAAAGUCAAUCGAUUUGUGUGACCGCUGAGUGAGAUCCAUCGCUGUUCAAUUGCCAAAGCUACGUUUUAACCCUCGUGAAGUUGUAAAGUCACCUAACAUACUUGCCAAUUAUAUUAUACCCUAGUUAAGCCACGGUUGUAACCUUUUAAUAAUUCGACGAAUAUCUCUUAGAUUUAAAAUUGUAUUUAUUGUAUUUUAUAUAGGACUGAUAGGAGAUGCAUUUUUAUUGAACAAGUGCCUUGAAAUGUGCAAUUUCAAUUAAUUUUGAGUACUUACUCGAUUUUUAUUAAAGUAUUAUACUCAAUUUUAUAUGGGAGUGAAUUUAACUGUUUUUAAUGGGAACUUCGCUCUAAUUUUAGGUUAAGAUCUCUAAAUAAUUCUUACGACUCGUAUAUCAUUGGUAUUCAUGUUUCAUGUUAUAAAUUGUACUUUUGUACCAACAUCCCAUCUUUCCAUACAUAUUUAUUACAUUAUUUAUGUGCUGUGCCAUCGCCAUUUUGUUAAUUGUAAGAAUAAUUGUUUGUGAAAUGUAGGUCUCAUUGCAAGCAGUGCUCAUAUUUUCUAAAUUGACAACCCUUAGCUAAACUGAAACGGCAGUAUCGUCUAGCGACUCAUAAUUUAAUCUUACUGCCUACUGUUUUGUCUUUAAAUCGAAAACAUUGAAUUUCAAUGAGUUAGAUAGCCGCUUUUCAACUAAUAACAGUCGUUAUCAGUCCUAGAAUAAGCAGUAAAUUUUGAAACCAGGGUAGAACUAAGUAUUAUAAUCUGAAACUGGCUUUUCAGACCAGUGUUUCUUAAUACAGGCCCUUCACAAUGCAGUGGCAGUAAGAUGGCUACCAUAAUAAACCUAAUUGCCUUGUCUUAUGAUCCAAUAAGCAAAAAUUGUACUUCAGUACCUAAGGCUCAAAUUGUUCAAUCCUGUUUAACCUGCAUGAAGGUUUUUAUGAAGACGUAAACUUGCUUGUAUUGUGG